rnacentral:misc_RNA from 1 species
CCUAAAUCUCGAGGGAGACUGAAUAGGCAAGAUUUAAGAAUAUAUACUCGACAAAACAAGACAGAAAUAGCCAUCGAGUAGGAAACUGUUGAUCAAUUGGAAUCCCUGGAUUCAAUUUCUAGACAUCCUAAGGUAUGUGAUGAGUCUCCUUUGGCUCCUGAUGAGUCUAAUUUUGAUUCUCAGUCUGUUCUUCUUUCUUCUGAUAAUGAUCUUAAUAUUUCUAUUGCUCUCCGGAAAGGUGUUAGGACCUGUACUAAACAUCCCAUUUCUAAUUUCAUCUCCUAUAAUUCUCUGUCUCCAUCCUACAGAGCCUUUCUAUUGUCCGUUUCCUCUGCUCUAUCCCACAGGAUUGAAAGAAAGCUUGCCUAAAUCCAAAAUGGAGGGCAAAUAUGGUGUAGGAGAUGAAAGCUUUGGCAAAG